ensembl:lncRNA
AGAUCCCUUCCUUCGAUAAAGUCAAUGACAGACCUCACUCGCAGGACAGCGUGUGAUGGCAGAGCCGUGCUGUCAGCUGUAAGCUGUGUUGGCAGUGCCGCGCUGUCAGCUGUAAGCGCUGUGUACUCACCGGGGCUUCAGCAGACGUGCAUUCUGAUUGCCUCCGGUGCACCUGCUUUCGUGAUCAAGGAUCAUUUAAUCCCGUAACUUCCCUUGUCCUGAUGGAAGAAGAGGGGAAGGUGAAUUACUCCUCAGAGUAAGAGCAUCUUUUUCAGUGCAUGCAACAGUUGUGCUGAGGCUCUCUGUAUCAUACAGCCACGGGCUGCUGAGAUUUAUCCCCUCAGAGCUGGGGACAGCGGGGUGGGAGUUCUGAAUUACCUCGCGUUGAGCCGAUUGAAAUCAGCAGUGCUUUAUAUAGAUUUUAAUAUCAGAGAGAGAAUAAUAGAACAGGAUUAAAAAUGAAUUUUUUUCCUAAGUAUAUAAACGUUUUCCAAGCCCUCUUGUUUUUAAUUUUUCUUCUGUUGCAUAUCACUUCUACCUUUCUGUUGAAAGCUCCUUUAACAAAACUGGGUUUUUGUUACAGCUGUUGGUAAUUAUGCAGGCAACACGCGUACACAGGGGAAACUGCAUGGGCCUCACACGCUGUAAAAGUCAAGAUCUUCCAUAAAUGCAACUACGUUCCUUUGUAGAAGAAUAACUAACUUGAGGAAAAUACAUUCAAAUGUCAAAAACCAGUUAAAGAGAUAUUUAGCAAUUCUUAGCAAGAGCUGUGCAAAGUCAAAUCCUGCCCAGCUCCGCCUCUCAAGCACCUUCUGGCACAACAGUCUUGCACCCACUGGGUAGGUAGCUGAUAAUAGUGAUGCAAUUUUCACAUCACCUCAGCUGGGCCUCACGGAGAAAGUCUGCCCGAUGGUGUGGAUACAGAAGUUUCUAACAAGCCUGUAGAUGAAAUCAUAAAAUAAAGUCUCUACCAGUUAAAAGCUGCAUGAACGCUAUUUGAAUGGUCUAACAGUACUAUUUGUUUGUACAGCAUAAACAUCAUCUGCAUAUAGCAGCUCAGCGAGCCCAAAGCUGGGUCUGGCAGUGCCAUCUACCCAGGUGACGGUGCACCUUUCUGUCCCCAGGGCCUCCUGGUCUGCAGGACACACACCUCACUGCGAGGCCCAGACGUUGCUCACACACUUGUUGCACGGCCAUGUGAGGAUCUGCUUAGGUGUCAGUGCACCUGCUUUGCAACAGGCACCUCUGAAGCAGAGAGGAUUGGCUGCCCUGUGCACCUGACUGUGAGUGCCACAGCUGCCAACACCUAUGGCUGCCCCUUGAAAGGGUGGCCAGGCAAGGGAGAUGGGCUGUGUGUGUCCCCAGAAGUCACCUCUUCUGCUUCUAAAGGAAAGAUGGAGGAGAGAAUACUCUUUCCACACAGCUAGAAAGCCUCAGAGAGCUAAUCCAUCAUAAUUUUGGCUUCUUAGCUCUCGGCUGGAAAUGAGAGGAAACUGUAUAGCUGUGAAGAGCUGGGCCAAUGAUAAUAGUUAUGUUUGUUUUCCUAGAGAAAAGCUCAUAGAUGAAAGAGCCAUGGUUCCAUCCCCCAGAGAAGCAGGAACAGGUAUUUGAUAGCCAAAACUAUUGAGGAUGAAAUGCAUUCCAGCCUCUUGGUGAGCCCAGCCGCCACCUUCCUCCUCUCUGUAUCUUCCAAAGUGGCUGUAAUUCUAAGGUCAUAUAGCACUAAGCAGGCAGAGAAAAGCACAAGAGACAACCAGAAGUUGCAUAAUUCCCAAACUGAUGGGAAGAAAAUGUUUUUGAGAAUCCCACUAAAAUGAAUGCCAAAAUUGUUCUUAAGCCUUACUUAAGCUUUUAUUUAGGGUAUUGGAUAGAUGGCUGCUGUCAGUAGGAAACACUGACCAGUAUUGAGGCUACCUAAACAGAGUCCCGAGUGCUUGUGUGUAUUUUAGGCACAUAGCAGCUCCCUGGUCAAGAAUUCUUUCCUUGAACUGAAAAGUCAUGUCCUUUGGUGCAGUCUCAUAACCAAAACUGCCAUUGUAACAGAGGUCCAAGCAUCUCCUUCCCUAGGUGUAGGUGGUUUCAACUCCUGAAGUGGUUAUAAGAAGCAAUGCCCCGUAGAACACGAAGCUUAGGAGGAUGAGUAAUAUCUGAAGUGUGGAGGCAGUGAGAGAUGACCCGCAUAUUAUGUGCUUUUUAUUUAAUAGUUUAUAAAUAAAUAUCAGCUUUCCCCAAACUGUCCCUCAGCCCAGCAAUUAUAUGUUGGCUGAUUUCUUGUUAGUGCUGUUCUUUUCUAAUAACAAACUGUUCCCAAAGCCUCACAUACAGAGUUAGACAAUCAAAGCACUGUGUGUGACUUUCCAGUUAAUUCAUUCAGCUAGCUGCAAUUAAAACAAUACAAUUCAAAGCCUUGUGUGUUUCCCUGCAAAAAUACGAACCUUUGGUCGUUACUAUUAAUAUAUACAACCUACAAGAAAGAGUUAACAGAGCCCCUUUGUCUUCCCUGCUGUAGUAAUUUUUUUAUGCUUUUCUGUAGAUGUCCCAGCAGUCAUUAAUAUUUCUUUCAGUCGCUGUUCUUCAAAAGACACAUGCUUUUCAUUCAAUUGCACAGAAAGAAAAGGAAUUCGGUGGGCCAGAUUCCCUCUGUGGCCAGAUCCAUUCACUACAGCUGCCUGGGGAGGCAUCUAGGUGAAGGGCUAUCGUCAAGAGGAAAAUCGAACUUAGAAGGGAGGAGGUCACCAUUUUUGCAGCAGGUCGGAGCCCCGCAAAAAGGGAGCCCACAGCACCAUCUCCAAAGAGCUGAAUAGUUCCAGGUACAACCAACAAACCAACCGAUUUUUGAGCUCCUGCUGACUUCACAAAGGCAUGUGUACAACAAACCAUUCUGUAAACCGGGAUGCGAGGAGAAAAAGUAGUUGAUAAUCUUCUUGCUGGAAUUUCUGCAAAAACGAAAGCAAGGAAAGUUUCCUCAAGUAUCACCAAGGCUGCACAUGGACCUAUGAAAGCUAGGAAAGUGAGAGCAGGGGACAUCAACUCCCGACUGACAAUACUUCUUUAUCUCAUGCAUUAUGGAAACAAAAAGAAUAAAAACAAACCCCCAAAAUUAGAAUGCCACGAGCAUAAAACAAAGUACCAGUGUGACUUUGCAGAUUAAUUUUGAAUUUCCUUGCUUUCAUUGGUUUAAGAGCCCUAUUGUUACUCUCUUGUUUCUUUAAUUGCAGACACUAAAAAUUCUUUUAUCUUUCAAAGUCCUUAAAGUCUGUUAUAUAAAUACGUAAUUAAAGCCUCUUUCAACUGGGUAUAAUUUACUCUACAGUUUACAACAGCUGCACUAGAGCUAUUACAGUUUAUCAUUUAAAAGCCUAAUUAAGGGCUUCUUAAUUAGUGGAUCCUUCAGUCACUAGACUGUGACUAUGUAAAAGAUGCUUGGCAGCUAUCGCAUGUUACAAAUCUGCAUGAAAUGUUUGCCUGAAAACAGGGGAUGUGCAAGUCCAGAAACACAUUAACUGUCCCAGUAGGUCAGUGCAUCUCAAUGUGCAAACCUCCACAUUAAAGCUACAUUCUCAUCUCCAAGCGCACAGCUCGUUUGCAGACAUGCUUUUCCCUCGUGCACAUGUUGUGGAGAACCACUUCAGUGUCCAGUGCAGGGGCCAGGCUGGGAGACUGCCCAGAGCGGCUCAGUGCCUCCCACUGCACGUCGCACACCUUCCCACGAUUUGCUCUGCCACCCAGCCAUAACUUCAGCCCAAGCUGAAAGCUGAGUCUGUUCCCUGGGCUCCUCAUACAACCUCCUGAAUGCAGGACAGUCAAGCCUGGAAAGGACUACUCUCCAUCUGUUCCUGCGCCCUUUCCCACAGCAUCCCUAGAGCAGCUGCCAGCCUAGCUGGGCUGAGCUGCUAUGCCAGUCCUCUCAGAUGUGGUGAAUCUCAUGUUCAAACACACCCAAGAAGAUGGGGCUGUGCCCACUGGCUGCUCACGCUGGUUCUCACAUGGCUUGUCAAGCGCUUUCUUCAGUGAAUUCCAUUUCUUGCUGUUGCCAUGCUCUCCUCAGCAGCUGUGCCGCUGUGCCGCAUUCAGUGGGAAGCUCCUCCGCC